rnacentral:rRNA from 1 species
AACGCGAAGAACCUUACCCAGGCUUGACAUGCAGAUGACAAUUACAGAAAUGUAAUCUCCCCUCGGGGCAUCUGCACAGGUGCUGCAUGGCUGUCGUCAGCUCGUGCCGUGAGGUGUUUGGUUAAGUCCAGCAACGAGCGCAACCCUUAUCAUUAGUUGCCAACACUUAGGGUGGGAACUCUAAUGAGACUGCCUGGGUUAACCAGGAGGAAGGUGAGGAUGACGUCAAGUCCGCAUGGCCCUUAUGUCUGGGGCUACACACGUGCUACAAUGGUCGGUACAGAAGGCAGCAAAACCGCAAGGCGAAGCAAAUCCCCAAAGCCGAUCCCAGUUCAGAUUGUAGUCUGCAACUCGACUACAUGAAGAUGGAAUUGCUAGUAAUGGUGGGUCAGCAACACCACCGUGAAUACGUUCCCGGGCCUGUACACACCGAGUAUA